rnacentral:lncRNA from 1 species
CUCCCCCACGGCCCAGAAGGACCUGCCUGAGCCCCAGUGGGUUCUGAGCCCAGGGUGGCAGCCCGCUGUCUCCUCCUCCUUGCCCUGCCGGCCUGUUCCUACAGAAUGCUCCAGACUUCUCCUGGUCCAUUUCCCUGGGCUCUGUGAGGCCUGGCCAGCAGAGGGCACGGUCCUCUAUAUUCUGGAGACCGGAGGCUGAAGAGAGCAGCUUUGGGGACCUUUGCGGCUCUAACUCAGCCUCUCCAAACUGCAGGGAGCCACCGAGGAGCUGGGUGAGAGCUCGGGAGAUGAGGGUAUCCCGAGAUCCCGAGGGAAUUUCACAGAGCUGGCCCCUCCUCUGAUACGGGUCCUGCAGCAUGCCCCCCCCCCCCCCCCCCAGGCUGGGCACACAGAUGCUCCUCUGUCAUCAGUCCUGGCCUGGCCCGGUUCUUCUGUCCCAGGAACAGACCAGAGUCCUAGGACAGCCCCCCGCCCCCGGCCCGCGGGAGGGCAGCGGGAGAACUCAGGGCCAGGCCUGCGGGACUGUUUGCCUUCGCGGGCAGGGUGACGGGCAGCAGGUCGGGCAGUUUCAUGUUUCUGUUGACGGAUGCUGCUGAGCACCUCAUGACGUGCCAGCCACGGUGGCGAGCACGGGGUGAGCCCAAACACCACGACGGCCCGUGCCACAUGAGCUGUGCUGUCAGCUGGGAAGACACGUUCGACGCGGACUUUCAUGACGUGUCCAAAUUACAAAUGCGGCGCCCCCUUGCCGAGGCCUAAGUUGAACGCUUCCCGGUUCCACACACCUGCAGCCCUUUCAGCUCCAGGGAGGCUCCUUCCUGUCCAUCCUUACUGUUUCCAGCACCGCUUUCCGCUCACGUCCUGCGUGUCCCUCUGCUCUCUCUGUGUUGGGAGUGGACUCCGCAGAAAGGCAUUCCAUGUUGCGGGGCCUCGGAAUGUCUUGGAACUGAGCGGUCACUCAGGACGUGGUUUAUCUGUCCGGCUCCAGGGUUCCCAGCAGGGUCCCAAGGACAACAACGAUGAGCCAGGGAGAAGGCAAAAUGGGUUUAAAUAUGACAGUUUUUUUGGGGAAACGCCUGGGGGGGGGGGGGGGGCAGGAUGGAGCUGGUGCCGUAUCUCCACCUGA